UCUGGCAUCCUGGUUAUUUGCAAACUUGUCCUAAUUCUCCUGUUAGACUUCUAGCUCCUUGAGAAGCAGACCUUGGAACUUUAAGGAGUUGAUAAUAAGUGAGAAUGGAUAAAGAGACAUGUUUACCUGUAAAUGGCUGCAGAUAACCAAGGCACAGUGCUGGGCAUUGAGAUCAUAAUGGUGGUGAGCAAACUCAGACAGAACCCUGUCAUCAUAGAAAUUACCGCUCCGAGAAGGAGGAGGUGGCCCUAAAUCAAAAACAAAUGCGUGAUUAAAAACAGUAGAAACCGUUCUCCUAUCUACUGGGCAUUAUCUCAAGCACCAAAUGGGCUGACCGAGGACAAACAUCAGUAUGAGGGGCUCAGCCCUGAAAAUUCCCUGGCAGUGUUGGACAUUAAUUUAAGAUGCAGUCAUUACAUAAAUGGACAAGCUGACCCUAAAUUUCAAUG